UGGAACUGGGAAGUGCUGGUCUCAGGAGAUGCUGGGAUCAGGAGAUGCUGGAGUCAGGAGAUGCUGAAAUCAGGAGGUGCUCAGACUGGCAAGUACUGGUUUCAGGAAGUGCUGGGGUCAGAAGAUGCUGGGUUCAGAAAGUGCUGGUUUCAGGAGGUGCUGGUUUCAGGAGGUGCUGGUUUCAGGAGGUGCUGGUUUCAGGAGGUGCUGGUUUCAGAAGGUGCUGGGAUCAGGAGGUGCUGGUUUCAGGAGGUGCUGGUUUCGGGAGGUGCUGGUUUCAGGAGAUGCUGGUUUCAGGAGAUGCUGGUUUCAGGAGAUGCUGGUUUCAGAAGAUGCUGGUUUCAGGAGGUGCUGGUUUCAGGAGGUGCUGGUUUCAGGAGGUGCUGUUUUCAGAAGAUGCUGGUUUCAGGAGGUGCUUGUUUCAGGAGGUGCUGUUUUCAGGAGAUGCUGGUUUCGGGAGGUGCUGGUUUCGGGAGGUGCUGGUUUCGGGAGGUGCUGGUUUCAGGAGGUGCUGGUUUCAGGAGGUGCUGGUUUCAGGAGGUGCUGGUUUCGGGAGGUGCUGGUUUCAGGAGGUGCUGGUUUCGGGAGGUGCUGUUUUCAGGAGAUGCUGGUUUCGGGAGGUGCUGUU